rnacentral:rRNA from 1 species
GGCAAGGGGGUCAUCCCGACUUACCAACCCGAUGCAAACUGCGAAUACCGGAGAAUGUUAUCACGGGAGACACACGGCGGGUGCUAACGUCCGUCGUGAAGAGGGAAACAACCCAGACCGCCAGCUAAGGUCCCAAAGUCAUGGUUAAGUGGGAAACGAUGUGGGAAGGCCCAGACAGCCAGGAUGUUGGCUUAGAAGCAGCCAUCAUUUAAAGAAAGCGUAAUAGCUCACUGGUCGAGUCGGCCUGCGCGGAAGAUGUAACGGGGCUAAACCAUGCACCGAAGCUGCGGCAGCGACGCUGAUGCGUUGUUGGGUAGGGGAGCGUUCUGUAAGCCUGUGAAGGUGUGCUGUGAGGCAUGCUGGAGGUAUCAGAAGUGCGAAUGCUGACAUAAGUAACGAUAAAGCGGGUGAAAAGCCCGCUCGCCGGAAGACCAAGGGUUCCUGUCCAACGUUAAUCGGGGCAGGGUGAGUCGGCCCCUAAGGCGAGGCCGAAAGGCGUAGUCGAUGGGAAACAGGUUAAUAUUCCUGUACUUGGUGUUACUGCGAAGGGGGGACGGAGAAGGCUA